GCCGAUGUAGCUCAGCUGGCUAGAGCAGCUGAUUUGUAAUCAGCAGGUCGUGGGUUCGAGUCCCUCCAUCGGCUCCA
rnacentral:tRNA from 18 species